rnacentral:tRNA from 1 species
GUGACUUCUAGGUAAGCAUAUAAAAGGGAUUUAAAAUCCCUUGACCUUCGGGUCGUGCGGGUUCAAGUCCCGCCCUGGGCACCA